CACGGGGGGAACGCGAAGAACCUUACCAAAUCUUGACAUCCUCUGACAGCCAUAGAGAUAUGGUUUCCCUUCGGGGCAGAGUGACAGGUGGUGCAUGGUUGUCGUCAGCUCGUGUCGUGAGAUGUUGGGUUAAGUCCCGCAACGAGCGCAACCCUUAUUGUUAGUUGCCAUCAUUCAGUUGGGCACUCUAGCGAGACUGCCGCAGACAAUGCGGAGGAAGGUGGGGAUGACGUCAAAUCAUCAUGCCCCUUAUGACCUGGGCUACACACGUGCUACAAUGGAGAGUACAACGAGUCGCGAAGUCGUGAGGCUAAGCUAAUCUCUUAAAGCUCUUCUCAGUUCGGAUUGUAGGCUGCAACUCGCCUACAUGAAGCCGGAAUCGCCAGUAAUCGCGGAUCAGCACGCCGCGGUGAAUACGUUCCCGGGUCUUGUACACACCG
rnacentral:rRNA from 1 species